rnacentral:tRNA from 1 species
CCCUCGAUAGCUCAGUCGGCAGAGCAGAGGACUGUAGAUGUUACAACGGUGAUCCUUAGGUCGCUGGUUCAAAUCCGGCUCGAGGGA